rnacentral:tRNA from 1 species
GGGCUUGUAGUCUAGCGGCUAUGACUUUUUAUUAGUAGAAUACGCUACCCUCACAUGGUAGAGAUCCCCAGUUCGAAUCUGGGCAAGCCCA